GACGAACGCUGGCGGCGUGCCUAAUACAUGCAAGUAGCACGCAGUUGAGAACGGGUGAGUAACGAGUAGGUAACUGCCUGGUAGCGGGGGAUAACUAUUGGAAACGAUAGCUAAUACCGCAUACUACCAGAUGGACCUGCGUUGUAUUAGGUAGUUGGUGAGGUAACGGCUCACCAAGGCAACGAUACAUAGCCGACCUGAGAGGGUGAUCGGCCACAAUGGGACUGAGACACGGCCCAGACUCCUACGGUAGGCAGCAGUAGGGAAUCUUCGGCAAUCGGGGGAACCCUGUCCGAGCAACUCCGCGUGAGUGAAGAAGGUUCUCGGAUCGUAAAGCUCUGUUUUUAAGGAAGCGUUACUUAACCAGAAAGGGACGGCGAACUACGUGCCAGCAGCCGCGGUAAUUC
rnacentral:rRNA from 1 species